UACAGGGGGUGCAAACGUUGCUCGGAAUCAUUGGGCGUAAAGCGCACGUAGGCGGUUCGUUAUGUCGGAUGUGAAAGCCCGUGGCUUAACCGAGGAAGUGCAUCCGAAACUGGCGAGCUAGAGUACUAAAGAGGAUCGCGGAAUUCCCGGUGUAGAGGUGAAAUUCGUAGAUAUCGGGAGGAACACCGGUGGCGAAGGCGGCGAUCUGGGUAGAUACUGACGCUGAGGUGCGAAAGCGUGGGGAGCAAACAGG
rnacentral:rRNA from 1 species